rnacentral:rRNA from 1 species
CAGAGGAGAAAAGUUGUAACAAAGUAGGCGUAUUGGAAAUGCGCCUGGGAACUAAA